GGGCACGUGUGCUCUACUGACGGUACCGUAAGAAUAAGGAUCGGCUAACUCCGUGCCAGCAGCCGCGGUAAUACGGAGGAUCCGAGCGUUAUCCGGAAUCAUUGGGUUUAAAGGGUCCGUAGGCGGGCCAUUAAGUCAGGGGUGAAAGUCUGCGGCUCAACCGUAGAAUUGCCUUUGAUACUGGUGGUCUUGAGUUAUGGUGAAGUAACUAGAAUAUGUGGUGUAGCGGUGAAAUGCAUAGAUAUCACAUAGAAUACCGAUUGCGAAGGCAGGUUACUAACCAUAUACUGACGCUGAUGGACGAAAGCGUGGGGAGCGAACGGGAUUAGAUACCCCGGUAGUCCACGCCGUAAACGAUGGAUACUAGCUGUCCGGCAGCAAUGCUGGGUGGCUAAGCGAAAGUGAUAAGUAUCCCACCUGGGGAGUACGUCCGCAAGGAUGAAACUCAAAGGAAUUGACGGGGGCCCGCACAAGCGGUGGAGCAUGUGGUUUAAUUCGAUGAUACGCGAGGAACCUUACCAGGGCUUAAAUGUAGUCUGACAGCUUUAGAGAUAGAGUUUUCUUCGGACAGAUUACAAGGUGCUGCAUGGUUGUCGUCAGCUCGUGCCGUGAGGUGUCAGGUUAAGUCCUAUAACGAGCGCAACCCCUGCCGUUAGUUGCCAGCAUGUUAUGAUGGGGACUCUAACGGGACUGCCGGUGCAAACCGCGAGGAAGGUGGGGAUGACGUCAAAUCAUCACGGCCCUUACGUCCUGGGCCACACACGUGCUACAAUGGCCGGUACAGAGAGCAGCCAUGUCGCAAGGCAGAGCGAAUCUAUAAAGCCGGUCACAGUUCGGAUCGGGGUCUGCAACUCGACCCCGUGAAGCUGGAAUCGCUAGUAAUCGGAUAUCAGCCAUGAUCCGGUGAAUACGUUCCCGGGCCUUGUACACACCGCCCGUCAAGCCAUGGAAGCUGGGAGUGCCUGAAGUCCGUCACCGCGAGGAGCGGCCUAGGGCAAGAUCGGUAACUAGGGCUAAGUCGUAACAAGGUAGCCGUACCGGAAGGUGCGGCUG
rnacentral:rRNA from 1 species